CAAUACGCUCAUGUUCAUAUCAUUCAUACAUAUGUAUUCAUUAAAUCAUUAUUUGAAAUAUGUACAAAUCUCAUCUAACAUGUUAAUCAUCUUAUCAUUUAUACUAUAUUUCACUUAAAGUUCAGUUAAGAUGCUGUUCAAUUUAAGAACAUACGAUGCACUGUCUGCAUACUCGUACACCGUCAUCUGGUUGGAAUCCAACUUAAUGGUUCCAUGUUAUCAUUGGGAGAUUGCCCUCUAUCCACGUUGAGGUGACAUAGUCUGCCAGACUAUGACGUCGACACUGAGUCGAGAUACUUUACUAU